UAUAAAAUUAUACAAUCAUGAUAAUAGAUUAUCAAUUUCGAUAGUUGAUCGAUGUUUUUGUAUAUAACUAGUUUUAUUAUUGUAUUUUGAAUAGUUUUGUCUAGUUUGUCCAUUAACAAUGUUUCGUAGAAAGAUUUUUUCUAUUUUCCUUAACGCUGUGGUAAUUCAGAAUUGUGUCUCCCAAAUACUACCCAUCAACAGUGGCUGCGCCUGCCAGCAAAUGCCAGUGCAGCAAAACCUGCCAGUUCCCGUCCAGGUUUCCAACAACUGUGGCUGCAGAAACAAUCUACUAAAUCUACCUAAUGGCAUCCAAAUCAACAACAAUCUACAACUUGCCAAAAACCCAUGCGUAAACAACUUACAAUUGGCAAACAUGCAAAAUUUACUGGCAAUCAGCAACGGACUUCAAGUCGCUAAUGGAUUACAACUGGCAAAUCCAUUGUCUCAAGAUUUAUUGGCACUUUUGAACACUGUGCCAGUUUCCAAUUGCCAAAACAUGCUGCAAGUAAGCUUGCAAGCGCUAUUGAAUCAGCUUAGCCAGCAACCGAAUUGCCAAUGCGGUUGCCAGUCACUGACAUCGAAUAUAGGUAAUAGUCUAAUUAAUGGUAACAUGAAUUUAUUAGGUGUAAAUGGCAUGCAAAAAGCUAUUAGUAACUUACCGUGCCAGUCGGUUGCUAAUCUGCAAGUAGUGACAGGCCAGCAAGAGGUUGUAUUAGGAGGUAAUCCUUGCCAAGCUUGCCAAAAUAUUGUUAGUAACCCGUGCCAAGCUUGCCAAAAUAUUGUUAGUAACCCGUGCCAAACUUGCCAAAAUGUUAUCAACCCCUGUCCGUGCCAAAGUUGCCAAAAUAUUGUAAGUAACCCGUGCGCUUGCCAAAAUAUUAUAAAUAGCCCAUGCCAAGCCAGCCAGAAUGUUAUAAGUAACCCGUGUCCAUGCCAAUCGUGCCAAAGUCCUGUGCAAUUCACUAUUUAUCAAUAAUAUUGUAUUUUUAUGUCUCUACCAUACAUGAUCGAUUAUUAUAUUUAUUAAUAGGUUAAGAUUUAAAUUAAAUAAAUUAUUGAUUAAGUUGUUCA